ACAUAGGGUGCAAGCGUUGUCCGGAAUUAUUGGGCGUAAAGAGCUCGUAGGUGGUUCGUCACGUCGGAUGUGAAAAUCUGGGGCUUAACCCCAGACCUGCAUUCGAUACGGGCGAGCUAGAGUGUGGUAGGGGAGACUGGAAUUCCUGGUGUAGCGGUGGAAUGCGCAGAUAUCAGGAGGAACACCGAUGGCGAAGGCAGGUCUCUGGGCCAAUACUGACACUGAGGAGCGAAAGCGUGGGGAGCGAACAGGAUUAGAUACCCUGGUAGUCCACGCCGUAAACGGUGGGCGCUAGUUGUGCGAACCUUCCACGGUUUGUGCGACGCAGCUAACGCAUUAAGCGCCCCGCCUGGGGAGUACGAUCGCAAGAUUA
rnacentral:rRNA from 1 species